rnacentral:tRNA from 1 species
CAAAGUAUAACUUAACCAAAGUAUCUCGCUUACACCGAGAAAAUAUUAGUGAGAUUCUAAUUAUUUUGA